rnacentral:rRNA from 1 species
UACAGAGGUCUCAAGCGUUGUUCGGAUUUAUUGGGCGUAAAGGGCGCGUAGGCGGCGGGGUAAGUCGGGUGUGAAAUCCCGGGGCUCAACCCCGGAACUGCCUUUGAUACUGAUAGUCUCGAGUCCGGAAGAGGUGAGUGGAAUUCCGAGUGUAGAGGUGAAAUUCGUAGAUAUUCGGAGGAACACCAGUGGCGAAGGCGGCUCACUGGUCCGGUACUGACGCUGAGGUGCGAAAGCGUGGGGAGCAAACAGG